rnacentral:misc_RNA from 1 species
AACGGUCUAUACCUGCGGUACCUGCGGAGGGAUCAUUACCGAGUUUACAACUCCCAAACCCAAUGUGAACGUUACCAAACUGUUGCCUCGGCGGGAUCUCUGCCCCGGGUGCGUCGCAGCCCCGGACCAAGGCGCCCGCCGGAGGACCAACCAAAACUCUUUUGUAUACCCCCUCGCGGGUUUUUUAUAUCUGAGCCAUCUCGGCGCCUCUCGUAGGCGUUUCGAAAAUGAAUCAAAACU